rnacentral:lncRNA from 1 species
AAAUGGGAGGUGGGAUUUGAGAAAUGGGGUUUAGAGGAUUCGGAGCAUUACAGCAAGCAGGUGAGCGACCAAACGGCCCCAAAAUGGCACCAAAAUGGCCCAAAAUGGCACGGAAAUGGCCCAAAAUGGCACCAAAAUGGCACCAAACGGCCCCAAAAUGGCCCCAGAUGGCUCCAAAAUGGCCCAAAAUGGCCCCAGAAUGGGAGGUGGGAUUUGAGAAAUGGGGUUUAGAGGAUUCUGAGCACUACAACAAGCAGGUGAGCGACCACAACGGCCCCAAAACGACCCCAAAAUGGCACCAAAAUGGCCCAAAAUGGCACCAAAAUGGCACCAGACGGCACCAAAAUGGCCCAAAAUGGCACCAAAUGGCCCCGAAAUGGCUCCAAAAUGGCCCAAAAUGGCCCCAGAAUGGGAGGUGGGANNNNNNGUUUUGAGGAUUCUGAGCACUGCAACAAGCAGGUGAGCGACCACAACGGCCCCAAAACGACCCCAAAAUGGCACCAAACGGCACCAAAAUGGCCCAAAAUGGCCCCAGAAUUGGAGGUGGGAUUUCAGAAAUGGGGUUUUGAGGAUUCUGAGCACUACAACAAGCAGGUGAGUGACCACAACGGCCCCAAAACGGCCCCAAAAUGGCCCCAAAUGGCACCAAAAUUGGACCAAAAUUGGACCAAAAUUGCACCAAAUGGCUCCAAAACGGCCCAAAAUGGCACCAAAGUUGGACCAAAAUGGGAGGUGGGAUUUCAGAAAUGGGGUUUUGAGGAAUCUGAGCACUGCAACAAGCAGGUGAGUGACCAGAACUGCACCAAAAUGACCCCAAAUGGCCCCAAAAUGGCCUCAAGGAUCCCAAAAUGGUCCAUAUAACCCCAUUUCCCCUCAUAACCCCCACGUCCGCCCCAUAACCUCCCCAUAACCCCAUUUCCCCCAUAACCCCGUUUCCCCCAUUACCCCCCCAUUACCCUAUAACCCCCUUAUUUCCCC